rnacentral:rRNA from 1 species
AGAGUUUGAUCCUGGCUCAGAACGAACGCUGGCGGCAGGCUUAACACAUGCAAGUCGAACGCUCGUAGCAAUACGGGAGUGGCAGACGGGUGAGUAACGCGUGGGAACAUACCCUCCGGUUCGGAAUAGCUCAGGGAAACUUGGAUUAAUACCGGAUACGGCUGAGAGGCGAAAGAUUUAUCGCCGGAGGAUUGGCCCGCGUUCGAUUAGCUUGUUGGUGAGGUAACGGCUCACCAAGGCGAUGAUCGAUAGCUGGUCUGAGAGGAUGAUCAGCCACAUUGGGACUGAGACACGGCCCAAACUCCUACGGGAGGCAGCAGUGGGGAAUAUUGGACAAUGGGCGCAAGCCUGAUCCAGCCAUGCCGCGUGAGUGAUGACGGCCUUAGGGUUGUAAAGCUCUUUCGCUCGGGACGAUAAUGACGGUACCGAGAUAAGAAGCCCCGGCUAACUUCGUGCCAGCAGCCGCGGUAAUACGAAGGGGGCUAGCGUUGUUCGGAAUUACUGGGCGUAAAGCGCGUGUAGGCGGGUCUUUAAGUCAGGGGUGAAAUGCCAAGGCUCAACCUUGGAACUGCCUUUGAUACUGGAGAUCUUGAGUCCGGAAGAGGUGAGUGGAAUUGCGAGUGUAGAGGUGAAAUUCGUAGAUAUUCGCAAGAACACCAGUGGCGAAGGCGGCUCACUGGUCCGGAACUGACGCUGAGACGCGAAAGCGUGGGGAGCAAACAGGAUUAGAUACCCCGGUAGUCC